rnacentral:rRNA from 1 species
UACGGGGGGAGCAAGCGUUGUUCGGAUUUACUGGGCGUAAAGGGCGCGUAGGCGGCGCAACAAGUCACUUGUGAAAUCUCCGGGCUUAACCCGGAGCGGCCAAGUGAUACUGUCGUGCUAGAGUGCGGAAGGGGCUACUGGAAUUCUCGGUGUAGCGGUGAAAUGCAUAGAUAUCGUCAAGAACACCUAUAGCGAAGGCAGCUUACUGGGCUGUAACUGACGCUGAGGCACGAAAGUGUGGGGAUCAAACAGG